rnacentral:rRNA from 1 species
CUUCGGGUUGUAAACCUCUUUCAGUAGGGAAGAAGCGAAAGUGACGGUACCUGCAGAAGAAGCGCCGGCUAACUACGUGCCAGCAGCCGCGGUAAUACGUAGGGCGCAAGCGUUAUCCGGAAUUAUUGGGCGUAAAGAGCUCGUAGGCGGUUUGUCGCGUCUGCCGUGAAAGUCCGGGGCUUAACUCCGGAUCUGCGGUGGGUACGGGCAGACUUGAGUGAUGUAGGGGAGACUGGAAUUCCUGGUGUAGCGGUGAAAUGCGCAGAUAUCAGGAGGAACACCGAUGGCGAAGGCAGGUCUCUGGGCAUUAACUGACGCUGAGGAGCGAAAGCAUGGGGAGCGAACAGGAUUAGAUACCCUGGUAGUCCAUGCCGUAAACGUUGGGCACUAGGUGUGGGGGACAUUCCACGUUUUCCGCGCCGUAGCUAACGCAUUAAGUGCCCCGCCUGGGGAGUACGGCCGCAAGGCUAAAACUCAAAGGAAUUGACGGGGGCCCGCACAAGCGGCGGAGCAUGCGGAUUAAUUCGAUGCAACGCGAAGAACCUUACCAAGGCUUGACAUGAACCGGAACGGCGCAGAGAUGUGUCGGCCACUUGUGGCCCGGUUUACAGUGGUGCAUGGUUGUCGUCAGCUCGUGUCGUGAGAUGUUGGGUUAAGUCCCGCAACGAGCGCAACCCUCGUUCCAUGUUGCCAGCGG